rnacentral:rRNA from 1 species
UUUGCCCACACAUGGGAUCAAUAGGGUACCAUAACGAGGAAGAUCGUAGCGGAAUACGAAAGAUUAUUGAUCGAAUAUAUUAAUAUAAUAGAUUACCCUUUGAACUUAAGCAUAUCAUUAAAAGGAGGAGAAGAAACUAACUAGGAUUUCUUUAGUAGCAGCGAGUGAACAAGAAACAACCCUUGAUUGUAAUCCUUAUGGAGCUGUAAAUCAUAUAUUUUAUUUCUUAUUUCGUAGAGGAUGUAUAUCCGUUAUAAAUGAGAUAUAUAAAAGUAAUUGAGUAGGGCUGCUUGGUAGUGCAGUUUGAAUAUAGGUAGAAUGAGAUAUCUAAGGUUAAAUAUAAUGGUACACCGAUAGCAAAUAAGUACUGCGAAGGAACUUGUGAAAAUGUGUGGGUUAUAGCCUUAUUUUUAAGGACCCGUCUUGAAACACGGACCAAGGAGAUUAUAAUUAUAGCGAGAUAACAUUGUAGUCGUUAUUAGCUUGAUAAGUUAUAAUUAUAAGACCCGAAACACAGUGAACUAUACAUGUUCUGGUUGAAGAUAAGCAACAGUUUAUUGGAAGACCAUAAUCAUUCUGACGUGCAAAUCGAUGAUUUAAGAUGUGUAUAGUGGCGAAAGACCAAUCGAACUGUGUGGUAGCUGGUUCACAGCGAAAUGUCU